rnacentral:rRNA from 1 species
GAUGAACGCUGGCGGCGUGCCUAAUACAUGCAAGUCGAGCGAACGGACGAGAAGCUUGCUUCUCUGAUGUUAGCGGCGGACGGGUGAGUAACACGUGGAUAACCUACCUAUAAGACUGGGAUAACUUCGGGAAGCCGGAGCUAAUACCGGAUGAUAUUUUGAACCACAUGGUUCAAAAGUGAAAGACGGUCUUGCUGUCACUUAUAGAUGGAUCCGCGCUGCAUUAGCUAGUUGGUAAGGUAACGGCUUACCAAGGCAACGAUGCAUAGCCGACCUGAGAGGGUGAUCGGCCACACUGGAACUGAGACACGGUCCAGACUCCUACGGGAGGCAGCAGUAGGGAAUCUUCCGCAAUGGGCGAAAGCCUGACGGAGCAACGCCGCGUGAGUGAUGAAGGUCUUCGGAUCGUAAAACCCUGUUAUUAGGGAAGAACAUAUGUGUAAGUAACUGUGCACAUCUUGACGGUACCUAAUCAGAAAGCCACGGCUAACUACGUG